UUUACCUGACUGUAUAUAAAGAAGCAAUCAAAUCAAUAAACUUUAAAUCACACCAGAUUCAUGCACUCCUGCUCACAUUGUGAGAUUUUCAAUUGCUAAUCCUUUAAGAAGAUUGAAGAUGAAGACUAUCAUUGGAGCACUUAUUUUUCUCUACUGCUGCUCAGCAACAAUAACUGCACCAAUAUCCAAGGUGUUGUUCAUUGAGCCUAAAACAAUUAACUACUUUGCUUCAUUUGUACGCUCGUCGAUGACUACUACAGAAACCAAUACCAUCAUGCACUUCCCUACUGGUUUGAUUAAUUAUGAGGAGUUGAUUCGAGUUCCUCUCGGUGAACUAGACUCCCAUGUGCUAAUAAGAGUCACAUUUGCAAUAAAACCUCGUCCCAAUACAGAAGACAGUGACCCAUACAUUGGAAUAACAGACAAUGUGGCUGAAAAUUAUUUUAGACUAAGUGGGCAUGGGGCAUGUCAAUUUCAGGAUGGUUCUUAUAAUGGGGCCACCCUACCUUCAGGAUCAGACCAGCACUACGAGUACAUCCUAAUAUUCGAGCCAUUUCAGAACUACGGUGCAUGUUCUCACCUCGGGGGUCAUGUGACCCCAGGAUACUUUAAUACCCGUAUUGAUGCAAGCAAAGGAUUGGAUUUUGUGGUGAAGAGAGAACAGGCUAAUGAGCAGUACGACUUCUACUACUUUCUCAUUGAGAUUCUCUAACUAUACACAGCAGAACAUUUGCUAACACCCUUAGUAGCAACUGCUAGAAUUACUUAAGUAGAACAGACAUAAAUACGUAUUUAGUAUUACUAUAUUUAUAAUUAUAUACAUGUAUAUAUGCAUGCUGCCAUAAUCUUUUCUCAAAUAAAUUACAAAA